rnacentral:rRNA from 1 species
CGGGACACGUGGUAUCCUGUCUGAAUAUGGGGGGACCAUCCUCCAAGGCUAAAUACUCCUGACUGACCGAUAGUGAACCAGUACCGUGAGGGAAAGGCGAAAAGAACCCCGGCGAGGGGAGUGAAAAAGAACCUGAAACCGUGUACGUACAAGCAGUGGGAGCACGCUUAGGCGUGUGACUGCGUACCUUUUGUAUAAUGGGUCAGCGACUUAUAUUCUGUAGCAAGGUUAACCGAAUAGGGGAGCCGAAGGGAA